rnacentral:rRNA from 1 species
CCUACGGGAGGCAGCAGUGGGGAAUAUUGGACAAUGGGCGAAAGCCUGAUCCAGCCAUGCCGCGUGUGUGAAGAAGGUCUUCGGAUUGUAAAGCACUUUAAGUUGGGAGGAAGGGCUGUAGAUUAAUACUCUGCAAUUUUGACGUUACCGACAGAAUAAGCACCGGCUAACUCUGUGCCAGCAGCCGCGGUAAUAAUCUCUAGAGGAU